UGUGUUCCUUUUCUUUUCAAUUGGACAUUACAAUUUUGUUAAGCUUUUCAGUGACCUAGUUCAUCUUCUUUCAGGCAUUGGAAAAGUCCAAAUACGAGCAAUCACUUGACUCUAUUUGACGGUUUAUUGCUAUUGCUGAGAGGGAGCUUGAAAUAUGUUAUAGACAUGUGGCACUUUAUGGCGACCCAAAUGCCCAGGAUCCGAACUCAAAUCCUUGAUAAACCAAGACCGAUGGAGUCGGCAAGGCUGAUAAUUUUACAAGAUGCUGGCUAGUCCUAGGCAGAUGCUUUUCUGUAUGGUUAAGGACUGGUUAAAGCGAUUUCAAUCAUUAUGACUGUCUUACUACAAAUAGUUGGCAAAGGUUUCUCCUCAUCGGUACAGAAUAAGGUAGUUUCGGGUGAGAAGUCAUGAUGGGAGUCUGUCACCUCUGUUAAGACAUUCAGUUGAGUUCCAAUGGAAGGCAUGGCAGCAAAAGCGACAAGAGCUGAGUCAUGAAUGAUAGAGUUUGAUGAAGAAGACAUAUAAUGUGAUCAUACCUCACCUUAAUAGUGCUGGUCAUAGCAUUGAUAUAUAGUAUUGAUGUCAAACCAAGGCCAACAUCAGAGAAGAAACAUUAAAAAAACCUUUGAAAACGAAAGACUCCUCUGUUUUUGACCACUGAGCAAUUUGAUACCAAAAGUCACAGCUAUUACAAGCAAAGGAACCACAAGAAUAUGCAACAUAUGAGGUAAAAUGAUCUUUUGGUUA